rnacentral:lncRNA from 1 species
GCCACACAGCUCCACCUGCGGACCUGCUCUGCACAACCUCCCUGCUGCUUGCUGACAGACUAGGAAAAACUGGUUCCAUAGGAAGCUGAACUCUGACAUCUGAGAGCUUUCUUCACUCUAUGAAUUCUCUGAGGAAUUCCAAGACUACGUUUAAGGGAGGAUGUUGUCCUUGGAGAGGCUCUACCCAGCAGCUAAAGCAGACAGAUAUAGACACCUAUAGUGAAACAGUGAUGGAGCUGGGGGUCUCUUAUGGAAGAAUAAGAAGAAAGAUUGGGGACCCUGAAGGGGACAAGAUCUCCACAAGAAGACCAACAGAGUCAAGUAAUCUGUACUCUUGAGGUUCUCAGAAACUGAACCAUCAACCAAAGAACAUACAGGGGCUGGACCUAGACUUCCCAGCAAAUAUGUAG